rnacentral:rRNA from 1 species
GGGGAGUACGACCGCAAGGUUGAAACUCAAAGGAAUUGACGGGGGCCCGCACAAGCGGUGGAGCAUGUGGUUUAAUUCGAAGCAACGCGAAGAACCUUACCAGGUCUUGACAUCCUUUGACCACUCUGGAGACAGAGCUUUCCCUUCGGGGACAAAGUGACAGGUGGUGCAUGGUUGUCGUCAGCUCGUGUCGUGAGAUGUUGGGUUAAGUCCCGCAACGAGCGCAACCCUUGAUUUUAGUUGCCAGCAUUUAGUUGGGCACUCUAAAGUGACUGCCGGUGCAAGCCGGAGGAAGGUGGGGAUGACGUCAAAUCAUCAUGCCCCUUAUGACCUGGGCUACACACGUGCUACAAUGGAUAGUACAAAGGGUCGCGAAGCCGCGAGGUGGAGCUAAUCCCAUAAAACUAUUCUCAGUUCGGAUUGUAGGCUGCAACUCGCCUACAUGAAGCCGGAAUCGCUAGUAAUCGUGGAUCAGCAUGCCACGGUGAAUACGUUCCCGGGCCUUGUACACACCGCCCGUCACACCACGAGAGUUUGUAACACCCGAAGUCGGUAGGGUAACCUUUAUGGAGCCAGCCGCCGAAGGUGGGACAGAUAAUUGGGGUGAAGUCGUAACAAGGUAGCCGUAUCGGAAGGUGC